rnacentral:rRNA from 1 species
AAAUUGAAGAGUUUGAUCAUGGCUCAGAUUGAACGCUGGCGGCAGGCCUAACACAUGCAAGUCGAACGGUAACAGGAAGCAGCUUGCUGCUUCGCUGACGAGUGGCGGACGGGUGAGUAAUGUCUGGGAAACUGCCUGAUGGAGGGGGAUAACUACUGGAAACGGUAGCUAAUACCGCAUAACGUCGCAAGACCAAAGAGGGGGACCUUCGGGCCUCUUGCCAUCGGAUGUGCCCAGAUGGGA